AGAGUUUGAUCAUGGCUCAGAUUGAACGCUGGCGGCAGGCCUAACACAUGCAAGUCGAACGGUAACAGGAAGCAGCUUGCUGCUUCGCUGACGAGUGGCGGACGGGUGAGUAAUGUCUGGGAAGCUGCCUGAUGGAGGGGGAUAACUACUGGAAACGGUAGCUAAUACCGCAUAAUGUCGCAAGACCAAAGAGGGGGACCUUCGGGCCUCUUGCCAUCGGAUGUGCCCAGAUGGGAUUAGCUUGUUGGUGGGGUAACGGCUCACCAAGGCGACGAUCCCUAGCUGGUCUGAGAGGAUGACCAGCCACACUGGAACUGAGACACGGUCCAGACUCCUACGGGAGGCAGCAGUGGGGAAUAUUGCACAAUGGGCGCAAGCCUGAUGCAGCCAUGCCGCGUGUAUGAAGAAGGCCUUCGGGUUGUAAAGUACUUUCAGCGGGGAGGAAGGGAGUAAAGUUAAUACCUUUGCUCAUUGACGUUACCCGCAGAAGAAGCACCGGCUAACUCCGUGCCAGCAGCCGCGGUAAUACGGAGGGUGCAAGCGUUAAUCGGAAUUACUGGGCGUAAAGCGCACGCAGGCGGUUUGUUAAGUCAGAUGUGAAAUCCCCGGGCUCAACCUGGGAACUGCAUCUGAUACUGGCAAGCUUGAGUCUCGUAGAGGGGGGUAGAAUUCCAGGUGUAGCGGUGAAAUGCGUAGAGAUCUGGAGGAAUACCGGUGGCGAAGGCGGCCCCCUGGACGAAGACUGACGCUCAGGUGCGAAAGCGUGGGGAGCAAACAGGAUUAGAUACCCUGGUAGUCCACGCCGUAAACGAUGUCGACUUGGAGGUUGUGCCCUUGAGGCGUGGCUUCCGGAGCUAACGCGUUAAGUCGACCGCCUGGGGAGUACGGCCGCAAGGUUAAAACUCAAAUGAAUUGACGGGGGCCCGCACAAGCGGUGGAGCAUGUGGUUUAAUUCGAUGCAACGCGAAGAACCUUACCUGGUCUUGACAUCCACGGAAGUUUUCAGAGAUGAGAAUGUGCCUUCGGGAACCGUGAGACAGGUGCUGCAUGGCUGUCGUCAGCUCGUGUUGUGAAAUGUUGGGUUAAGUCCCGCAACGAGCGCAACCCUUAUCCUUUGUUGCCAGCGGUCCGGCCGGGAACUCAAAGGAGACUGCCAGUGAUAAACUGGAGGAAGGUGGGGAUGACGUCAAGUCAUCAUGGCCCUUACGACCAGGGCUACACACGUGCUACAAUGGCGCAUACAAAGAGAAGCGACCUCGCGAGAGCAAGCGGACCUCAUAAAGUGCGUCGUAGUCCGGAUUGGAGUCUGCAACUCGACUCCAUGAAGUCGGAAUCGCUAGUAAUCGUGGAUCAGAAUGCUACGGUGAGUACGUUCCCGGGCCUUGUACACACCGCCCGUCACACCAUGGGAGUGGGUUGCAAAAGAAGUAGGUAGCUUAACCUUCGGGAGGGCGCUUACCACUUUGUGAUUCAUGACUGGGGUGAAGUCGGAACAAGGUA
rnacentral:rRNA from 1 species